rnacentral:rRNA from 1 species
UACACUCCUGCGGGAGGCAGCAGUGGGGAAUUUUGGACAAUGGGCGAAAGCCUGAUCCAGCAAUGCCGCGUGCAGGAUGAAGGCCUUCGGGUUGUAAACUGCUUUUGUACGGAACGAAAAAGCUCCUUCUAAUACAGGGGGCCCAUGACGGUACCGUAAGAAUAAGCACCGGCUAACUACGUGCCAGCAGCCGCGGUAAUACGUAGGGUGCGAGCGUUAAUCGGAAUUACUGGGCGUAAAGCGUGCGCAGGCGGUUAUGUAAGACAGAUGUGAAAUCCCCGGGCUCAACCUGGGAACUGCAUUUGUGACUGCAUGGCUAGAGUACGGUAGAGGGGGAUGGAAUUCCGCGUGUAGCAGUGAAAUGCGUAGAUAUGCGGAGGAACACCGAUGGCGAAGGCAAUCCCCUGGACCUGUACUGACGCUCAUGCACGAAAGCGUGGGGAGCAAACAGGAUUAGAAACCCGAGUAGUCCCA